AAAUUGAAGAGUUUGAUCAUGGCUCAGAUUGAACGCUGGCGGCAGGCCUAACACAUGCAAGUCGAACGGUAACAGGAAGCAGCUUGCUGCUUUGCUGACGAGUGGCGGACGGGUGAGUAAUGUCUGGGAAACUGCCCGAUGGAGGGGGAUAACUACUGGAAACGGUAGCUAAUACCGCAUAACGUCGCAAGACCAAAGAGGGGGACCUUAGGGCCUCUUGCCAUCGGAUGUGCCCAGAUGGGAUUAGCUAGUAGGUGGGGUAAUGGCUCACCUAGGCGACGAUCCCUAGCUGGUCUGAGAGGAUGACCAGCCACACUGGAACUGAGACACGGUCCA
rnacentral:rRNA from 1 species